CACGGGUGAGUAACACGUAUCCAACCUGCCGUCUACUCUUGGACAGCCUUCUGAAAGGAAGAUUAAUACAAGAUGGCAUCAUGAGUCCGCAUGUUCACAUGAUUAAAGGUAUUCCGGUAGACGAUGGGGAUGCGUUCCAUUAGAUAGUAGGCGGGGUAACGGCCCACCUAGUCUUCGAUGGAUAGGGGUUCGUGAGAGGAAGGUCCCCCACAUUGGAACUGAGACACGGUCCAGACUCCUACGGGAGGCAGCAUG
rnacentral:rRNA from 1 species